rnacentral:rRNA from 1 species
AAUCUCAGUUCGGAUUGUAGGCUGCAACUCGCCUACAUGAAGUUGGAAUCGCUAGUAAUCGCGAAUCAGAAUGUCGCGGUGAAUACGUUCCCGGGUCUUGUACACACCGCCCGUCANACCACGAGAGUUUACAACACCCGAAGUCAGUGGCCUAACCGCAAGGAGGGAGCUGCCUAAGGUGGGGCAGAUGAUUGGGGUGAAGUCGUAACAAGGUAAC